rnacentral:misc_RNA from 1 species
AUCACCAGUUGAUUGGAGCAUUGCUUCCAAUGAUUCGUUGUUUAGCCUUCAAUUAGGAAAUAGUUUCUCCAGAGAGCGUAAGCCUGCAGAAGUAGAAUUACAAGUCAGCCCAUCCCUUCCUGUUUCAGUGGCAGAUACAGAAUGUCGGGUUGCAGUGGCGGACACAGAUAACCCGCCAUCAGUCCCCAUGGAGGAAAUAAUAGAAGAAACUACUGAAACAAAAAAAGCUGAGGAGGCAACUGGACUAGCUAAUGAGACAACCUCCAAGGAUGCAACAAAGCCAGGUGAUGUCG